GAUAUUCCAAGCAUUAGAGUCAAAAUUGCAAAUGAUCUUAUCUUCGUCCCUGGUAAUUCUGGAAUGAAGAGUCGUGUUCUUGAAUAUGAUGUUUAAGGUAAUUACUAUAUUUAUCAUUUAUUUAGUUGUAAGACAUGUUUUUUUAUUAAUUAAAUUAUAGAAACAUUUUUUGUUUAUAAAGUUCCCUUUCUUCACAUGCAGGGAGACACUCAACAUAUUGUCCAACAACAUGCAAUAUAUAACUAUAUAGUCUGCUUGUUCUCAAAUAGUAGAGUAAUUCUGGAUUUGUUCACAUCCAUGCUGUAAUGGAUUUGUUCAUAUACAUGCUGUAAUUGUGGUGCUAAAAUUAAUACAAAACAAAAUUUCAAGUUUUUUUCGGAUCAAAAUAUUCCUUCUUUCACUUUCAUUGCCUCCUCAUGCAGAAACAACCUCCUCAUUGCCUUCUUUCACUUUCAUUGUCUUCAUUUUCUUAUUAGUAUUUGACUUUGGACCUGAGAAAAAAAAUAGUUAAUCAUUUUCAUAUAU
rnacentral:lncRNA from 1 species